CGUCUGUACCAGGCCUUACCGUCUGUACCUCCAGAGAUGGAACCAGUCAUUCAGGCCAUUAUAGACAACCUGAUGCAGACCGCUCCAGCAGAUUGCUUGCCGAUGAAUAUGAAGUGUCCAAUAACACCAGCGAACGU